ACCCCAUUUUCUUCCAUUCAUUUUCUUCAUUUCUUCUCCUUCUUUGUAGUUUCCUUAAACCAUAAAAAACUCGUACUUUAUUGACCUGACCUCCAACCAGAGAUAGUCGUCUCUGUUUAGUAAAAAUAUAAAGUUCAUAAAGCACAAAAGCAAUCAUUAAAACAUUUCCUAUUCUUUUCUUUACAAUUAAGUCAUUAUAUAAUAAUAAUAUCUAAAGUAAGUUAUACAAAUAAUCAUUCAAUUAUUAGUGUGUAUUACUGUUUUAGUCACUUAAGUUUAAAAAAGUCUAUUUUAAUUAUUAAAAUUAUCAACAUUUAAUAUUUUGGUCACUCCUUAAAUCAUGAUCAUAAUAUUGAUAUAAGCACCACCAACGCACGCCUCUGCCAGCCUCUGCGCACGCCGCCACCGCUUGAGAUCCGCCUAUCGCCGGCCAUCCACGCGUCUGACAUCUGCAACAACCACCACAAAACAAAGCAACAACUAGAAGACGACAAAUAAAGCAGAGAAAACAUUUUGUAAUCAGAUAUAAAGGGCCGAAUAAGGCAAUUGUUUUCUGCUGGGGAUCUUCUUUGUAAAAAACACACAGAUAUUGGAAUCAAAAAACAGAAAACAAAAUUAAAAAAGGUUGAUUUGAAUUGCUCUCUCUUCAUUUUUCUUUAUUUUUGCGUAUUUAUUUAUUUAUUUUUUGCAAAUCGAUUUUAAAAUAACAAGUAAUAAAAGAGAAAGGAAAGGGGAUUACUUGAAUCGGCCUUCAGGCCCGCCGUCGAUGGCGCUUCACCGUCGCCGGAUGUGGAUUUAAAGAGAGGCCAAAGCUUUUCUUUUUCCCCUCAGUCCCUUGUUCCAUGGCCUCGACCUCCGAAUGCGCUUCAGUGCGCCGAGGGGUGACGUCCUCGCAUGGCUCCGGCCACCGGACAGAGGGAGGCGUGACGGCGGCGGCCUAGCAGAGAAAAGGGAACCUCCCUUGUUAUUUUUCGCGUUCUGGGCAGAAAGUGAAACAGU
rnacentral:lncRNA from 1 species